GUCAAACAUUAUCAGAACUAAGUAAGAGUG
rnacentral:piRNA from 1 species